UUUGAAACCCGGGCACAGUUUAAGUAUUAUUCAAAACCAUAGUGAGUGUUAUUUAAUGGUCACCAGUGGGAGGGUUGACUUUGAAACCCUGGCACAGUUUAUGUAUUAUUCAAAACCCCAGUGAAUGAUAUUUAUCGUUCAAACAGUAGGAGGGUUGACUUUGAACUUUGCAGAUCCAUUCACCACAUGAUAUCAUACUGCAGGCUGGCAUGGUGCAUUUGUUAUUGAAAACCACAUUGGUCAGAGAGUAGGAGGGUUGACUGUGUACCAGGUAGUAGUAUGCAUUCACCAUUGUAGGUUGGCAAUGUUCAUCUCGUAUUCAAAACCACAGUGACUAGGUACUGUGUAGAUGCAUGCACAAAGUUAUAACAUAUAGCAGGCUGACUCAGUGUAUUAUUUUGUUAUUGAAAAACCACAGUGGAUGAUAUUGAUUAGUCAGACAGUAGGAGGGUUGACUGUGUACUUUGCAGAUGCAUUCACCACAUAAUAUCAUACUGUAGGCUGGUAUAGUUUUUAAAUUAUUCAAAACCACAAUGGAUGAUAUUGAACGGUCAGACAGUAGGAGGGUUGACUGUGUUCUGUAUUCAAUGCAUUCACCACAUAUCUCACUACAGGCUUGCAAAAAUGAUCUCUAUUAUCCAAAACCAAAGUGAUUGAUAUUGAAUGGUCAGCUAGUAGGAGGGUUGACUGUGUACUGUGUCGAUGCAUUCAUUCCUUUGCAUGCUGGCAAAGUUAUAGUAUCACAAACCACAGUGAAUAAUAAUGAAUGGUCAGACAGUAGGAGGGUUGACUGUGUACUGUAGGCCCUAUACAUUCAAUUUCCACAUGAUAUCUUCUUGCACUCUGGCAAAAUUUAUAAUCAGUCCAAGCUACAGUGGCUGCAGUAUUAAUUAGUUGGACCAGUUUGACAAACAAAUCCAGUGUACACAAAAACAAAACAGGUCAGUCAGGUUGGUGUAGUGGUGUCUUGCCUUGCCCUUCACCUCUGGGGCCCCGGUUCAUAUCCCACCGGGGGCACUAUGUGGAUUGGGUUUUCAGUCCCUACCUGACUGCGUGGGUUUUCCCUGGAAUAAUUCUGUGGGGUUUUCCUUCCACAUCUAAAACUGAAAUUUCUUCAUCUUUUCUUCACGUUUUGGCUGUAAUUAGAGCUUUGAGUUUAUCCAGAUCCAGCUCCAGGAAAUUAGUUGAUUUUAAUUUAAUUAUUCAAAGACCAUCAAGUAUGUACACUUCCUUUAAAUGCUCAUCGUCUAUGGUAAUCAGUAUGUGAUGGAAUAAAGUGAAAGUUGAAAUUAAUCUUGACUUUUGCCACGGACGACAACUCUUGCAA